GAAAGCUCAAUUGGUCGAGCACGAGACUCUUCAUCUUGGUAUCGUGAGUUCGAAUCCCACGUUGGGCA